rnacentral:rRNA from 1 species
AUACGUAGGGUGCGAGCGUUGUCCGGAAUUACUGGGCGUAAAGAGCUCGUAGGUGGUUUGUCGCGUCGUCUGUGAAAUUCCGGGGCUUAACUCCGGGCGUGCGGGCGAUACGGGCAUAACUUGAGUACUGUAGGGGAGACUGGAAUUCCUGGUGUAGCGGUGAAAUGCGCAGAUAUCAGGAGGAACACCGGUGGCGAAGGCGGGUCUCUGGGCAGUAACUGACGCUGAGGAGCGAAAGCAUGGGUAGCGAACAGGAUUAGAUACCCUGGUAGUCAAUGCCGUAAACGGUGGGCGCUAGGUGUAGGGGUCUUCCACGACUUCUGUGCCGUAGCUAACGCAUUAAGCGCCCCGCCUGGGGAGUACGGCCGCAAGGCUAAAACUCAAAUGAAUUGACGGGG